AAACUUUCAACAACGGAUCUCUUGGUUCUGGCAUCGAUGAAGAACGCAGCGAAAUGCGAUAAGUAAUGUGAAUUGCAGAAUUCAGUGAAUCAUCGAAUCUUUGAACGCACAUUGCGCCCCUUGGCAUUC
rnacentral:rRNA from 1 species